rnacentral:tRNA from 1 species
CGGGGCAUGGCGCAGUCUGGUAGCGCGCCUGCUUUGGGAGCAGGAAGUCGGGGGUUCGAAUCCCUCUGCCCCGACCA